CCAUUUUAAAUAUUACCCUAAAAAAAAAAAAAAAAAAACUGAUGGGCUCUCAUUCAUGCUGAAAGAAAAUGAUCGCAGCUCUCAAGUAUUUGAAAUUCUCCUAUGUGGCUCGUAAGUGACGCGAAUUUUGGCCACCCCUGCGAUAUUCUCAAGAGAAUGUAUUCUAAAGGAGUAUUGUAUACGAUAUAUCUUUUUUCCACAUUUUCUUUCAAAACUUGUAAAUUUUUGUUUUUAUUUUUUACUCCAACAUUAUCUUGUUUAUUGUUUCUUACAUCUUACUUAAUCUCUCUUAGAUACACGAGAUAUUCAAAUCCAGUACUAUUUGUUUGGUUAUUCUUUGCACAUAUAUCUCUCUUCUUUCUUUCUAUAAAUUUAUCUUUUUUUCUUCAUCAUUUUCUA
rnacentral:lncRNA from 1 species